CGUCUAGGGUAUCUACCUUUCGCC
rnacentral:siRNA from 1 species